rnacentral:rRNA from 1 species
GAUGAACGCUAGCUACAGGCUUAACACAUGCAAGUCGAGGGGCAGCAUGGUCUUAGCUUGCUAAGGCCGAUGGCGACCGGCGCACGGGUGAGUAACACGUAUCCAACCUGCCGUCUACUCUUGGACAGCCUUCUGAAAGGAAGAUUAAUACAAGAUGGCAUCAUGAGUCCGCAUGUUCACAUGAUUAAAGGUAUUCCGGUAGACGAUGGGGAUGCGUUCCAUUAGAUAGUAGGCGGGGUAACGGCCCACCUAGUCUUCGAUGGAUAGGGGUUCUGAGAGGAAGGUCCCCCACAUUGGAACUGAGACACGGUCCAAACUCCUACGGGAGGCAGCAGUGAGGAAUAGUGGUCAACGGGCGCAGGCCUGAACCAGCCAAGUAGCGUGAAGGAGGACUGCCCUAUGGGUUGUAAACUUCUUUUAUAAAGGAAUAAAGUCGGGUAGGGAUACCCGUUUGCAUGUACUUGAUGAAUAAGGAUCGGCUAACUCCGUG